GGCUCCAUAGUGUAAUUGUUAGCACGUCUGCUUUACAUACAGAAGGUCCUGGUUCGGCGGCCCAGGUGGAGCCA
rnacentral:tRNA from 1 species